AUCCCUUCUCAGCCUUUUGGCUAAGAUCAAGUGUAGGAAUUUUCACAUCAGCUCAGUUUUAUCAUUGAUUUCUUUAAAUAGAUAUUUCUGUUGGAGUUGCAUAAUAUCAUGAAACAUCUACUCACAUUUGCCUUCUAAUAUGGCUUUGGAUACUCUGA
ensembl:snRNA U2 U2 spliceosomal RNA